CGUUUGUGAUCAUUUGUUACAUCAGGAAAUCAACACACAGGAGAGAAAGGGCUCCCCAGGACCCCAUCCCUCCCACUGGGAACUGGCCAAGGAGUCUGAUGACAUCUUGAGAAGGGAGCCUUCCCAAAUCAUCUCACCUCCCUGUGAGCCAGAUCUUGGCAGCUCUGCGAGGUCCAUCGUCCCGGCUCUGUUCUGCCUGCUGAGGUUAUGACUUCAGCUGCAAGCAUUUCUUGCCAUGGUUCUGCUUUUGCCUCAGCUGGAUUUCAAGCAAUCACACUGUUACAAGGACCCUCGAGCAAAGGGCUGGGCUCCCAAGGUGUACAAGAAUAGCUUUCUGUAGCAGAUGCUGGAAGACUGGCCGAUGACAUUGGUUUCUUGGGGUGUGAUGUGCAUCACGCCAUAUUCGACACCUGAUGAGUUCUCACCAGCUGCAUCUCAACACAUGGAGUGUCUCCAUCGAGGCUUCGAUGAGGUCUUAUACCCAAACAGGAUCCUGGGAUGAAGGUUGCUAAGUGCUUAUGACAGUUCCUGGCAGACAGCAGGUGCUGGUUACUGGAAUAUGAAGAUUUUUUUCAAGUCUCUUUCAUGGCUGGCUUACUGGAAGAUAGCUGUGUUCUCAUUCCUGCCUCUGUAUUCAAUCUGGUGCAGUAUCAAACGUCACAAAACUUCUGGAAAACUCCAUGGAUUGUUGAGAGAGCAAGAGUGAGAAAGAUGGGUCUCAGUGUUACUAUGAGACUCUCUGUGACCUCAUGGAUGCCCCAGAGGGUCUAAGACUCCCAGAGGUCUCUGGCUAGACCACGCUGACGACCACAGUGUUGGCCUCAGUUAGUGCCUUUAUCCCAGAAUCCAGACAUCCAGUGAUGUGAUGAUGUGAUCCAGGGCUGAAGUCUGGCUUAGAUCCUCAGACACUAACCUAGAAACUGGGGGCAGGGGAACGCUCCGGUGGGCUGCAGGCAUUAAAUUUCCCUUUUAGUGUUUAUUUGUCUCUUCCGAGUGUUUUCUGCUGCUGCUCAGUCACUUCAGCUGUGUCUGACUCUUUGUGACC